ensembl:snoRNA SNORA70 Small nucleolar RNA SNORA70
GUGUAGCCAAGUAUAAAGUGAUGGUGCUUUCUGCUCUAUGGGGCCCAGUGUGAAAUGGUUGCAAACAGCCAAAAGCUUCCUUAUUAGUGUAAAAGGCUGUGACUUGUAGUCUGUUGUAAGGGACCCUGGAGAGAGUU